rnacentral:rRNA from 1 species
UACGAAGGGGGCUAGCGUUGUUCGGAAUCACUGGGCGUAAAGGGCGCGUAGGCGGCUUUUCAAGUCGGGGGUGAAAGCCUGUGGCUCAACCACAGAAUUGCCUUCGAUACUGUUAGGCUUGAGACCGGAAGAGGUGAGUGGAACUGCGAGUGUAGAGGUGAAAUUCGUAGAUAUUCGCAAGAACACCAGUGGCGAAGGCGGCUCACUGGUCCGGUACUGACGCUGAGGUGCGAAAGCGUGGGGAGCAAACAGGG